rnacentral:rRNA from 1 species
AUUGAACGCUGGCGGCAGGCCUAACACAUGCAAGUCGAGCGGAUGAAGGGAGCUUGCUCCUGGAUUCAGCGGCGGACGGGUGAGUAAUGCCUAGGAAUCUGCCUGGUAGUGUGGGAUAACGUCCUGAAACGGGCGCUAAUACCGCAUACGUCCUGAGGGAGAAAGUGGGGGAUCUUCGGACCUCACGCUAUCAGAUGAGCCUAGGUCGGAUUAUCUAGUUGGUGGGGUAAAGGCCUACCAAGGCGACGAUCCGUAACUGGUCUGAUAGGAUGAUCAGUCACACUGGAACUGAGACACGGUCCAGAAUCCUACGGGAGGCAGCAGUGGGGAAUAUUGGACAAUGGGCGAAAGCCUGAUCCAGCCAUGCCGCGUGUGUGAAGAAGGUCUUCGGAUUGUAAAGCACUUUAAGUUGGGAGGAAGGGCAGUAAGUUAAUACCUUGCUGUUUUGACGUUACCAACAGAAUAAGCACCGGCUAACUUCGUG